rnacentral:rRNA from 1 species
UUGAUCCAGGAGAGAUUGACGGGCAGGAGUCUUGGGACUGGAACAAGGUGUAGGGGGCUGUGGUACAUGGACUGCAGCAUGCCGGGCCAGGAGGGAUUGCACAUGCUAGCUGCAAUUGCUGAGGAUAAGGAGAUUAGAGCACUGAUCCAUCACUGUAGGAUGGGGCAUGUGUCUUUUGACAAAAUGCAUCAAGUAUUUCCUGAUGUAAUGAGUGGUGUGGACAAGAGCAAGCUGAAAUGUGAUGCAUGUGAGUUUGCUAAACAUACCAAAAACUCGUAUGUGAGUAAGGGGAUCAGGAGCAUCUCUCCUUUUGUGUUGAUCCACUCUGAUGUAUGGACAUGUCCAGUGUUAUCUGUCAGUGGUAUGAAGUACUUGUUGGGAAACGUAGCAAUUUCAAAAAAAAUUCCUAUGCACACGCAAGAUCAUGGUGAUGCAUAG